UGUCCCUUGAAUGUGCCAGUAGUUGAGUGGCAUUCGUUAUCCGGAUAUGCAGAGCAAUGUUCACAAUGAACGAUUCAUCAGUGUGGGAUGUGGUUAAACUACAUCCUUUCUUUGCCUUUUUGUGACUUCCAAUCUCUCUGUAUUUCCAUUGCAACCUGCUGGUGACACAUUGUGACACGCUUAAGCUCGGUGACCACUUCUUUCUGAGAACACCCUCUCUGAAGCCUCACAAUGAUGAUGUUGAUCGGUUGUUAGGCGUUGUCUUGUCUUGAACAGCAUGAUGAGGAGGACUGUUUAAAUACCAUUUCUGAUUGAAUCAGGGAAGUUAUUGGUCAACUCGUGGGACAAAACAAUGUUGUCCACAAGAACUUAAACACUGAACAGAUGGAUAUAUGAAAUUCAACAUUUAGAGAAGGUUACAUUAAUUUAAUCUGAGUUAAUCUUAGAUUCAUCUUGAAAUUUCAUCUGAAAGCUGAAUAUGCCUAGCUUCUUAUGAGUAGUGCAUAUUCAGAGGACGAUAUUGGAGGUAAACCUGGAGAAUAUAAAGAGACAGAAGUCACCAUGCUUCUGUAGCUGAUGCCCCUACAGGUGUUAGAGGAGGGGAUGAUGGUUCUGCUGAUACUUCUGGUGACAAUGCAGGGAACCGUGAUGCGAGUUUUGAUAAUGGGGUAUGACACGGGGGACAAGGACAAGGAUGACAAUGACAAAUUAUGCUGUGGUUGAAGGCUUGGACUGCGAAGAUGCAGAGAAUGAAAACUGGGGAUAUAGAGGCUGUUGAUGGCAAAUAUUCCUCUGCUGCUUAACAUAAGGGAGGAAAAGAUGAACGUGGUGGUUCAGAUGAUGUUAGUGCAUCUGGAAACCUGCUUCACUCUCAAAGUUUACCUGAGUUCUUUCUUUGAUUUUUUUUUCUCUCUCUUUUGCUCUAUUUAAAUGUAUAUUUUUGUAUUUAAUAGGGUUUUGAGAUCAUGGGCUACCCAUAGUUUAUUGAUAAAGAAUCACUAGACUUGUUCUUUGGUCAACUUAGGACGAUGUGUAGUGUGUGACCCCUCUGUUAUCUCGAGACAAACAACAAACAAACAUCUUAGUUAGCAUUUAUUGGUGUUGACAAGCAGUCUUUUACCAAUAGGAUAGGUCAGAGAGAGAUGUAUGAAGUUGUGGUCAGAACUAGCAAAAGGUAGAAGAGACACUUAUGUGAGAAUACAAGAGAAGAAUAGUUUUAUUGUGUAGUUUAGUUGUGCAAUCAGCAAGUUGUUUAAAAAAGAUUGUAUGUGUGCAGAGGGACACAUGAUUAAAGUUCCCACAUUUAAAACUGAAUGAAUAUGUGUUUUCUCUACAUUAUUACAUACGGUUGGCUCAUAUGCAGAAGGAGAAACAUAAACAGCUGUGGAGUCAAACGGGAUUUCUCCCAACCAAAAUUAGGGUCUCCUACUGAUUUAUUAUGACUUCCGUCUCCUUAUGAUGGCAUGAUCUGGUCUAUACUAUCUAUUCCUGAUGAGCAAGAGAAGCUUUGUUUUACACAUCUAAUCAAAUACCUCUAUAGCAAGGAAGCUGGUAAUGCUGGUCUUCAAGUCCGUCAGUUCCAAAUAAGGGCUGAGGCGUACUCCACUGAAAAAGCUCCGGUCAGGGAGUUGGUCGUCACUCCAUGUGGUGAGGAAUUUCAAAGAAAUUAUUGCCCUUGUUCUUGCCAUGACUGAAACCCAAAGCUUCCUCAUAAACGUCUUCAGACAAACUUUGGAGCUUCGAUAAACUAGACAGGAGCAUCCCCUGCCACACCCAUUUAGUACAUGGAAAGAAAAUUUACACCAGACAUUUUGGCACAUAUAGCAAUGGGGCUUCAAGCAAGAACUUCAGUUUAUCGUUGGAAACACAACAGGAGUAGAGUGAGGAUGAGCGGAGUAGAGUCAUCCAUCAAUAGAAAAGGAGUGAUAAUGUCAUGGAACGUGGUCUGUUCAGGCGCUGUGUUCCCGAUGAGUAGGGUUCCUGUAAAGGAACUUAACAUUUGCCAGCUGAUUGCAGAACUGUCAAAGGUUCUCUCAAGCAAAUGUUCAGGUGUACAAAAGACGGCUUUCCAUCGAAACAGCGGGACAUAAAGCUUUUUUUGGAAUGAGUUUUCAUGAUAUGGUUCGAAAUGUUUGGCCUCAGCUAUAUAUUGUACCCGUAGCCCUCAUUGUCAAGACAUCAAAAAAAAAUUAAAUGACAGUUUAGAGGCAGAUUUGGAUUCUAAUUGAAUAUUCUUUUCCUACAAUUAUUUCCACGUUUUUAGAAUAUUGAAAUGAUUCCAAAAAGGAGUUUCUCUCAUGUGCAUACAUUACACAUUUUGCUGCAAAAUGUUAACUCUCUAUGCACAAAUCAACCAUUGACAAAUCCCAGAAGUAAUUUCUUAAAUGCCACAAAAGGCUUUGACAUUUAGAAAGUGCUUGUAAAUUGUGAACCUGAGAGUACUAAACUAGCUAAUUUGUUGCUAAAAAAACCCAUGCAUCUCACAUGUAAUUUUAAGGUUGUUUUGUAAGUUGUUGUAUAUCUUUACUCUAAAUACCUUUUGAAUUAAAUUGUUCUGGACUCGUAAUAUUUUCCACAUAUCAUCACAGAGGCUGUCAUAAAUCUGAGCCUCUCACCCCCAGAUUUUCAGCAGCUUGUACUCUGAACAAUUGGUGUAGACACUGCAGCCCUGCUGGGGCAUAACAGAAAGCUGCUGAUGCUGCCAAAACCCUUUUUUCCAUCAAGAUGUCCUGGAAUGUGUUCUUGUACGAAGCCUCUUGAGUGAAAGGGAGCAUAUGAUGUAAAUCUUGUAUUAGCGACGGGCUCCAAACGUCGGUUGUUUUCAGAUUAAACUUAGUUCUGCUGCGCAUUGUGAUCAAAUUGGUUCUGAAAUCAGUUGAGCACACUAAUUCGCAUACAGUUACUCACGUUUACAUGGCUUCUUAUCCUGAUCGUGGUGUUUGUUCUUUACUUCAUACACAGACAGUUAAAACAUGCACAAUUUUAUAGACUUAUUUUUGUUGAAGAAAAGCCACAAAUCCACCUGUGUUAGGUUUUAGCAAAAUAAUUCAAAGGAAAAAAAAAACAUAAAAAUGCCUGAAGGUGAGUGGUUUAGCAAUAUAUCAAACUUAAAGUAUUGGUAUCAGAAUAGGUAUUGAAUCCAUCUCAAAAUGUGCACUAUUGCACACCUAACUCUCUAAAACUGCUACUCCAAUAUUUUUGGCAGUUGUGAUUUACAAUAUAGCUGCUUUUUUUUUAAAUCCUGUUAAUUGCAAUGAUCCGUUCCACCCUGGUUCUCAUCAUCAGGUGCUUUUGUGCGUUUUUCCCAAACAAUUUAGUGUCAGGGUUCCUGUGCGUGUGCGUGUGUGUGUGUGUGUGUGUGUGUGUGUGUGUGCGCGUGCAUGUGCGUGUGUGUGUGUGUGAGUGAUGCAUCUGUUCCAGCGAAGAUCUUGGUGAAGAACCUGGGCAGCUUACACAGGUGGAUCUCAUCUGCCUCAUCAGUGUUGGGGAUAAAGGAGCAGCAGAACCUUCACUCAGUGCUGGAUGAUUAACGUGCACCGAUUUAGAAAAACUCCGUUCUGGCACCAUUGCUCAUCGUGGAAAUGUUUAUCUGACUUGAAGGGACUCUGUUUAUCUCAUUGACGGCUGAUCUUACUGUGGACAAAACUGCUUUAAUAUUCCAAGCCUUGCUGAUACUGAGUUGCUGUCCAGGAACAGUCGGUUUGAGCUGAGCAGGACCCCUAGAGCCACAUUCUAAUAAACAGCAUGGGGACGUUUAGGACUGCGUGCAUGCAAACAUCCUGUCUAUCUCUCUUUAUAACGAGCUCACACUUUCCUCAUACACAAACUCCCUGUAGUCCAAAACAGCUUUGGACAGCAAACCUGAACCGCCCAGGGCUGCAAGGACAUGCUGCUGCUCCAAACUUGAUGAAGCAUUUAUUAAUGGACGGGGAGUUUGUCAGUGUGUGCGCCACGUUACACGCCUGCGCAUACAAUUCUGACUUGUUUAAAGGCCUGGGUGGCUAAUGUAAAGAAAUGAUUGCACAAAAUAAUAGUUUUGCUUGGCAGAAUAAAUUUUCAGCUACGCAUUUUCUUUGAUUAUCCAUAUCUGUCAAACACGCAUACACACACACACACCCGCACACGCACAAAGGAGUACGAUGCCACAGAGCCUCAGAGGCCCAUUUAGUGGCUGUGUGGAUUUGAUGAGAAGGGCCUUUUGCUUUAUUUAGUGAAGUGCUGCCUAAUAUGAUUAUGGUCAGCAUGCCUCCUGUUCUCUCUCACAUUAGAGAACACACUGGGAGCUAUUACCCGAGUCCCUGAUGACCGACCUCUUUCCUGGAGUGAGAGAUACAAGAGACACCUUGGUGGGAAAAGGAAAAAAAAUAAAAUAAAAUGCACGGUGACUUAAAAAUCACCACAGUGUAAAAAUCUGCAGACAUUCUGCAGAACAGCUUCAACACGACGCCAAUUCAUUUGACCUCUUCAGGCAUAACUAAUAGUCAAGACUGCGCUCAGGCAUAACUGAUCAUCUGUCAUUGUCCCACAGAGGUCACAGUUAAUGGGAUAUUGGCAGACAGCGGCCUUGAUGUCCAUGCCCAAUGAGGAGGGAGCAUUAUGCAUUGUAAAAAUGCUACAGAGCUGGGAGGUAUGGCGUUUCACUGCACAUGCUGGAGCUCAUAAUGCAAUGACAAAUCAUGAAGGAUGAUAUUACAAGUGCAAGACUUACCCCAGCACUCUCAGCGCCGGUUGUAAUGGAUCACAAACAUCUGGUCGUUGGGAUUUUCUUGGGCUGUACGGACUUUCACUCAGAGGAAAAUACACAACAGCAGCGGUAUGAUGAUGCGAUACACCCAU